AUUUAAUUGUGAAUGUAGCUCUACAAACACAUUAUUACAGUACUGCAAUAUAUGCCUCAUUCUGGGGGAGGGGUUUAAUACAUAUUACAAGAUAUAUACUGGUGCAAGUCAUUUAUUUGGUACGGAACCACAGCGAAUAUAUGAGAUAAAAUCGACAUACAGCAAAGAAAGCAUUUGUUCAACCCCCACACGUUGUGAGUAGGUGUACGGAAUAAAGAUGUUCAAGUGGCUUGUCGUUUGUUUCAUCGCUUUAGCGGAUUGUAAAAUGGAACCAGAAUGUACAAGCGACAGAUGAGUUGAAUGAAGAAGAGAGAAGGCUACUGGAAACUCUUGAGGAGAAAUUAGAUCAGGAUUCACAGGAGCCUGAUGUGUGUGAAACAGAAGAAUGUUUAUUGGAUGACGCAUGUGCGUCACAGUGUUGUUCAGAUGAUUGUGCUGCAGCGGACGAUUACGAAGGUUGCGUAGGAUGACUGCAUGAAGGACGUACAAGACGCGGUUACGGCUGCCCUGAACCAAGAGAGUUCAAGUGGAGAAGAUAACAGUCAUCAAAAGAAAUUAUGGGGAGUUCGAGUGAGAAGGGUAAGCAGGACAAUAAGUGGAGCCGUGAGAAGAGUAGGCAGUACAGUGAGAACAGCCGUGAGGCGAGUAGGCAGUACAGUGAGGACAGCCGUGAGACGAGUAGGCAGUACAGUGAGGACAGCCGUGAGACGAGUAGGCAGUACAGUGAGGACAGCCGUGAGACGAUGGUGAAAAUUGUCUACAAAUUGGACAAAAUGUGAAGUUAUAUGAAUGAAACGACCUUUUGGAAGUCUUUAAAAAAUUGAAGAAAUAUUUCAAUAAGACAGUGCGUUUUAAAAUAGUAUAACAGAGAAACUAAACCGACUAAUAUUGUAUUACUGAUGUAAGCACAUGAAUAACAUCGUUUCAUGUUAACUGUUUCAACAUUUCUAUCCUGAAUAUUUGAAAACUUUAACCUUAGUUAAAAGUAAAUUCUGUUAAUAAGUUAAUGAAACGUUAUGAAUAUAUUUGAGUAAUUGUAGAGUAUAAGCUCAACUAAGAGUAUCAAAGUAUGUAUGUAAUAAUUUUAAAUGUCAGUUAUCAGCCAGAAACUUCAUUUUGCGUUAUGACUCUUACUACGAAAGUAAGAACUAAACAGCUAACUUAUUGGUACUGUUUUUUCUUCUCCCUCGUAACGUUACGUUUCAUAAUGAUUGAUUAUCAUAUAUUACAUAAUAUAUCUAAACGUAAGAACAAAAUACAUUAUCUGCUAUACUAAUAGAGUAACACAUAAUUAUCGGUUAAUAACUUGAUGUGAGAUUGAUACCUAUCAUAGACUGAUUGAGUAGCGUGCAUGAUGUUUCAGAUGCUCUUUACUUCUUAUUUAGAAUUAUAUUAAUCAGAAAAACUUCUUUCGGAACUGAACAGAACAUAACGGAAGAGAUGCUUUAUUACCGUAUGAAAUACGGUUUCUUCUUUCACACGAAUAAAAGUGCAUUCUCGCUAUUUAUUUCCCAUACAUAGAAAAUAAUACUGCAGUUGUUACGAGCCAAACUUAUCUAGAAAAAGACCACCAAUAAAAUCAAGACAAUACCAGAAAGGUUCAAAUGCAACCUUUAUGUACAAUACACGACACAAAGGCAACAGCUCAUGAUCUGUAGGCUUUGCAACAUUUACUAAUCCUGAUUUUUAUUAGCUUUGAUAAAAUUACAAGAAUUUCAUUCACACAAAAUAUUUUGUAAUGAUUGUUGAUUGUAUUGAAACUUGAAAAAUAAAUUUUUCUUAAGUGG
rnacentral:lncRNA from 1 species